rnacentral:rRNA from 1 species
AACGAACGCUGGCGGCAGGCUUAACACAUGCAAGUCGAACGCCCCGCAGGGGGAGUGGCAGACGGGUGAGUAACGCGUGGGAAUCUACCCAUCCCUACGGAACAACUCCGGGAAACUGGAGCUAAUACCGUAUACGCCCUUAGGGGGAAAGAUUUAUCGGGGAUGGAUGAGCCCGCGUUGGAUUAGCUAGUUGGUGGGGUAAAGGCCUACCAAGGCGACGAUCCAUAGCUGGUCUGAGAGGAUGAUCAGCCACAUUGGGACUGAGACACGGCCCAAACUCCUACGGGAGGCAGCAGUGGGGAAUAUUGGACAAUGGGCGCAAGCCUGAUCCAGCCAUGCCGCGUGAGUGAUGAAGGCCUUAGGGUUGUAAAGCUCUUUCACCGAUGAAGAUAAUGACGGUAGUCGGAGAAGAAGCCCCGGCUAACUUCGUGCCAGCCGCCGCCGUAA